GGGUCAGUAGGUUGGUCGUGCCACCGGUACGUACUGGUCUCACUGAUUCCUCCUUCCUGAAGAACCGUAAUGCCAUUAAUUUGGUGUUGCGGGGAAACAGGACUGUUACUUUGAAAAAAUUAGAGUGUUUAAAGCAAGCUAACGCUUGAAUACGUUAGCAUGAAAUAAUGAAAUAGGACGAUCGAUCCUAUUUUGUUGGUUUCUAGGAUUGACGUA
rnacentral:rRNA from 1 species